rnacentral:misc_RNA from 1 species
UGGUUCUGGCAUCGAUGAAGAACGCAGCGAAAUGCGAUAAGUAAUGUGAAUUGCAGAAUUCAGUGAAUCAUCGAACCUUUGAACGCACAUUGCGCCCGCCAGUACUCUGGCGGGCAUGCCUGUUCGAGCGUCAUUUCAACCCUCAAGCCCUGCUUGGUGUUGGGGAUCGGCGCGGCGCCUCCGGGUGCUGCCGUCCCCUAAAUCUAGUGGCGGUCCCGCUGUAGCCUCCUCUGCGUAGUAGUUUUCUCCUCGCUCUGGAAUCUCGGCGGUGCCCUGCCGUUAAACCCCCAACUUCUGAAAGGUUGACCUCGAAUCAGGUAGGAAUACCCGCUGA